UACGUAGGUGGCAAGCGUUGUCCGGAGUUAUUGGGCGUAAAGCGCGCGCAGGCGGUGCGGUAAGUCUCUGGUGAAAGCGCUCGGCUUAACUGGGCGAGGGCCGGGGAGACUGCCACGCUGGAGGGGAGCAGAGGCGAGUGGAAUUCCGGGUGUAGUGGUGAAAUGCGUAGAGAUCCGGAGGAACACCAGUGGCGAAGGCGGCUCGCUGGGCUCUACCUGACGCUGAGGCGGACGAAAGCGUGGGGAGCGAACCGG
rnacentral:rRNA from 1 species